UCUCUGAUCUGUGUCUUUAUGAGCAAUGCGAGUGUAGCCACUAAGGUUUUUUUUCAGUAAAACUUGUUCAGUAUUGUCUUUAUUUCUAAAGAGAGCCUCAAGCACGAUGCAAAAAGGCUUUAUUUUUCUACUGAUUAUUUGGAACUCAUCCCCUUUUGCCUCAGGAAAAACCACAAAUCAUCAUCAAUUCUCGCUGGGAUGUCAAGCUGUGAUACCUUGUAAACAUUACAGAACGGAUUCACACUCAUGGUUUUACAAGAAGGAUGAACAUAGCAACACAAUACGGAUAUAUUUUAAGGAUAAAAAAGGAGUAGAAUACCAUGAGCAGCUCUUACGAAAAAGAGUGAAGGUGCUGAGAAACGGUUCGUUGGCCAUUAAUAUUUUCGCAGAGGAUGAUCAAGGCCUUUACUGGUGUGAACAUUGUUUUCAAGGCAACUGUUGGGUUGACCCCCCCGAAGUCAUCGGCAUGAAGAAAGAAAUUCUGGAAGAAACUCGGGAGACAUUCUACAUUGUUGCAGGCGAAGGUUUCACUCAUGCUUGCCCGGACGAAUUCACUGACUUAAAAUGGACAUUUGAAGCAAGUAACAUGGCUGCGCUCAGAAACUUGAUACAAGGAUCAGAAUCAGACUUUGUUACUUCCAACCAGUCUAUGCACAUUGUAAAAGUCAAAAGAGCAGAUGCUGGGAAAUAUACCUGCUGGAAAAGGGGAUGUAAUGGACGCAGGCAGAAGCUGCUUACGAUCAACUUUACACCACAGUGAGGAUUCCUCUGUUUCAUGUGAUGUGAUGUGUGACAUGGAAUUCAGUUACGUCAAACCAAACAGCACAUUAAAAGUGGAGACAGGCGCAGGGACAACAUCAGUGCUUGUACAUCCAAAUGUGUCUUUAAACUGCAGUGCAAAGCAGAUGUUUGAUGGACACAGUACAGUUAACAGCACCCACGGACCAUCAAAUGCUUUAAACAAAACAACAGAUAUACCUCCGGAAGCUGAACAUCUGAUUCCAAUUAUUUAUGGAAUAUCAUCAGCCGUUACAUGUCUUACUUUAAUGGCACUUUUAAUUUGCUACCUCAGACCAAGCUUGUGGGCAGGUAGGAUCAGCUCUUUGUCUUAUUCAUUUCCUGUGAAUUGUUUUUUCAGUGGUCUACUGCCCUGAAAAGAAGUACAUAUUUGCCAUUGGGUUAUACAUGUUCCCCCUGAUUCUGUUUCCAUCUCUUCAAAGCGUUUCCAUUUCCCGUUGGUUGCUGUUGCUUGAAUAGUAGUGUAAGUGGGAGGCUAUGAUGAUGAUAAGAAUGAUGAUGGUACGACCUAAUAUUAUCUACCAUGCACCAAUGAACUAACAUGUGUUUUUUGUUCAAUUACAUUUCCUACUUCUUACUGCAGGUGGAAGAGGAGUCGUCAAUUGAUUAUUCAACAGUUGUCUUCGGGAGAUCUGCUGAGACAACAAUGAAUCACACAACUCAUAGUAACAGCUAUUGUGUGUAUAGCGAAAUAAAAGUAUAGAAAAAAGGUCACAAAGCGAUGAUAAGAGCUGAUUGAUAAUUUCCUCUUUUUUUUUUUCAAACAAAGGA